rfam:Zostera marina strain Finnish scaffold_23, whole genome shotgun sequence.
GCGGGGAUAGCUCAGUUGGGAGAGCGUCAGACUGAAGAUCUGAAGGUCGGGUGUUCGAUCCACCCUCACCGCA